rnacentral:pre_miRNA from 1 species
UCUUAUGGAUGGGCAAAGAAAGUGGUUUCUCAAGAUGGGAACUGCUCCUCAUGAAGAUGCUGUGAA